GUUUUAAGCCACUAAGUUUUAAGGUGAUUUGUUACACAGCAACAGUAACCAGAGCACACUGUGACAUAAUAAUAGAGAGAUUAGAAUUGCUUUAUUCUAAAAUAUGAUUUCUUGCACUUUUGUAAAGCAAUUUUGUUCAGCUUAGGGAAGCAUCUGUGUUUUAUAACUUUCAUUAUUUCCCUUCAGACAUGGUGUUUUUAUGGAUAAGGAGUUAUAGAUUUGAUUCUAAAGCCACAUACUAAUGGACAAAUUACGGCCUGUGGGAGAAGCAGCAUCCUGGAGCCCUACAUCCCUCUAAGAUGCCAAUUAUUCACAGAUCCCAACAGUAAUAUAUACAAAUUCCCCUGAAGAGAACUUCUUCCCACACUGCUUACGGCCAAGCACUGCCUGGGGGAGCAAGUCUUAAUUUCAACGUGGUUACACGUGCCAGUACCACUCCCUCCAAGUUGUGGCAUCCAAGUUGUCCCCAGAGAGCUGAAUGUCAGUCACCUGGGGAGCAACACUGUCCAUACUAAGAACUACUCUUCGGACCCAGUGAUGACAAGGAUUCCUUGUCACCCCUGACGGCUACCUGUCUACCUGAAGUACAUGAGAAGGUAAGUCCUUGAGUAAACACUAACUUUUCCAGAAACUG
rnacentral:lncRNA from 1 species